UCACAGCCGGGCCGCCGCCCCCCUUCCACACAUCCACACAUCUUCUCGCGGCUGCGCCCAGCACGGGCACGGCCGCCUCCUUCCCCCGCCAGCCCAGACCAGCCCCGAGGCCCGCCCGCCACGGCCAGGAGCGGGCUCGGAGCUAACCUCGCAGCUACUCCCCAGCCUGCCAGCGCCGCCACCGCCGUUCCGCCGCCGCCGCCCGGCCCGCACGGCGCGGGGCCGCCCCUACACGCGUGGCCGUUCCCUUGGCAGCCAACCGCCCGCCCGCCAGCCGCCACGUGGCGCAGCGAACCGGCCCCAAUAGGUCGUCGCGGGAACCUCUCUCCCCCGGCCCCUCUUUUUCAUGCUUUCAAAAUGGCCGCGUCCAACGGCCGCCCCGCCCCGUCCCGUCCCGUCCCGGCCGUCCCGCCCCGCGUGGGGCCGUGAUCCCCGCCGUUGAACCCACCAGCCGGUGGCUUGCGCGGGGCUGCGCGUCUUAAGGGAGCGUGCGGCCGGUUGGGUAUGCGGGAGGAGCGCGGCCCGCCGGCCUUAGUUGUGCGCCUUGCAGGCGGCCUGCUUGUUCCCGCGGCAAACUGGCGCCUGGGAAUGGUUCGUAGAGGUUUUGGUGUUAGUAUGUCACAGCUUCCCUUUUCUAAAAGAGCUUUUAAGGAAGGGCCGGAAAAACAGAAAGCCUGUUGCCUGCUGUCCGCAUAAUUGUGUUACCAGAGAGGCAUGUUAUGCUCACUGUGAGGUGAAUACACUGCAGCAUCUUGGCUGACAGCAGUAGCUUCUGCCUGCUGGGCUGAGAGGUUUGAGAGCAAACAAACCUUUCUUCCCUAGCCAAGUUUCUCAUUACCUUGCUGGCUUUAUUCAGAAAGACCUGCUGGCAGUUCCUACUGGAGAUCCCUUGUUAGCAUUCAGUGGAGGGCAUUAGAUGUACCCGCCUUCUCACCCCAGCAACUCCACAUAGUCUACAUCCCCAACCUGGCAUAGCAGGUCAUUUGUUGAAAGGGACACCAACCACUUCAGAAAAUGCCUGCUGUAAAUCGGUGUCGCAGCAUUUCACUUACUUGGGCAGUUAAUGUUUCUAGUCUGCUUGCAGACAGCAGGAUUAAACUUUAAAGAUGGGAAUCUAAAGAAAUUAAACAGAUUAGGGCCCUUGGAACAUUGCCAGAAUGCUGUGUGUUCACAGAGGUGUAAUACAACGUACAGCUGAUGUUAUCAACAUCAAAAGUAACCAAAGCACCCUGAGUGCUGCAAUCAAGUGUGCUGGAACGGGAAUUAUUUCAUUUCCUCCUAGCUUAGGAGCCAUUUUCUAGACCUCACUGCAUAGAGCUAGUCAUGGUGUUUUGAUUCACUACACAGACCUGCCCAGGCUGAACUACCACAUCUGCAGGGACCUCCCCAGGCUCCUACAACCUUCGGUAAUUUGUUGAGAGAGCUCCAGCUGUCAUGUUUGUCAAUUCCUUCAGCACUCUGGGGUGAAUCCCACUGGGCUACAUGGACUUACGAAUGUUGAACUGAUACAGUGCUCCCUCACAAUUUUGGUAACCACAGACGGAAAGUCACUGCUGCCUAAGGCUGAAGAUUGGGCAGCCUGAUAUCUGUCAUCACUAUUAAACACUGAGGUAAAAAAGGAAGGGAAGG